ACCAUGUGAAGGAUGUAGAGCAUUUUGCUAUUUUAUUCACCUUCAUUUGACAUGCAGCUAACCUGUGAAAAAUUGCAGCAGAUAAUUUAGUCAUUAACUUACUGUUACAAAAUCUUCAGGGUUAUCCUGUUUUGCCUUCACCUGGAGAAUCUUCAACCCCAGAAAAACAGAUUGCCGCCUGGUGUUGCAGUACCACCCCUCAGUCAGCUCAGUGUGGCAUCAGCCGAAUCUGGGUCCACAGUCAGUACAGGCGGAAGAAGGUUGCAACUCGAUUGCUCGAUUGUGUUAGGAUGAACUUCAUUUACGGCUGUAUUAUUCCCAGAGAACUUGUCGCGUUUUCAGAUCCCACACCAGACGGCAAGCGGCUUGCUAAAAGUUACGCCGGCACCUCACAGUUCCUUGUGUUCAGAUAGCUUUGCACUGGUUGCAUUUCAAAUGCCUGAUUCGUGAAGCUUGGAAAUGUCCCCGAAUGUACAUCAUUGUACUUUGUAUUACCGUGUAAACGGUGUUCAGUCUUGGAGACAACUUUCGUUUUCGCUAAAUCUUCGCAGGAGCACUGUCUAGCUUCGGAAUCCUAUUCUUUACUUGAAAUCUAGUACGAACCUUCCGUUUCGUCGGAAAAUUAGGCUGAUUUAGCAAGAGAACGGGAACGUCUCUUGACGACGGCGC